UAACCUCUGGCGAAGGACGUGUAUGUUA
ncrna:unclassified sequences L19-Flavobacteria ribosomal protein leader